UCUGUGAUAUGUACUAUUCACUAUUCACCUAAAAUUCACUAUUCGCGCAAGCCGGCUCGUGACCCAUAACAUAAGUCGCAAAAUAGUCAGUGACGAGCUCGGUGGAAGGUGUGACUAAGAGAAAAAUAGUCACAUGCAAGUUGAUUCUUGGCACAUGUGUCAAGCUGAAUGCAUCUAUCAGGUUGAUCUAUCCUUUAGCCAAUUUAUCUGUUACAGUUUUCUUGUAAGCAACUUCUGUUACAGUGCUUGUGCUUCCGUCUUUUUAUGUGUGCGUGUUUUGUGUCCUUUUGUGCGCCACUUCUUCGAAAGUCAUGGCUUACCAACUAGCCCAUCAGUACAUAAGCUAUAUUCCAGGUUUUAAAUUCACAUUGAGCCCAUGCUCACCAGACAUCCCGAUUGAGACGUAACAUUUCAGCUACGGCAGCAUGGUUAUUUCAUCAAUUAUUUCAGCUGCCUGGCACAAGCCUGAAAACAGCUUACCUUCACAACAUGGUUUCAAACUUCGCUGUUUGCUUUGCCGUUAGCCCUUUCGGGGGCAUGGCGGAGCCAUGAUUUCGCGCUGCACUCCACGUCAUCCUUUGUGCUGUUUGGGAAACGUUUCCUAAUAGCAGCUGUCUCGCAAGCAUUACAUGAGCCAAGUUAGAAUUUAUAACUGGUGCAUUCAUGUCAUGUUCAUACCAGUAAACUAGCAUACCUCUCUCUUAAAUACAUAUGGCUCCAUGUUUAAACUGCCAAAUGUAUAAAGGCAUCACGGCAGCAUAUUUACCUUCCACUUCAAGUUUUCGUUAUGGCUGAUCACUUAGCAGCAUUGCCCCACGUGGCGCACAGACAUCGGUCAGACUCCUAAAUUUAAAAAAGCUAUGCUCGCCACCGAUUUGCAUAACCAUCCUAGCAUGCAUUGGGUGUGGCUUGUUCUAUAAACGCAAUACAAAAGCUUAGCAAUGCUUAAGGUUCCCAUGUAGAUGCGUGCGAAUAGAAAUCGUUAAAACCAAAUAUAAAAUAAUGAAGCUGUGAUCACAUCAAGCUAUAAAUACAUUGAAAUGAAAUCUUCAUCUGCUUUCCAGCAACAAAAAUGUUUUCAUUAGUGUGCUCCAGCUAGUUCCCCAUUUCCUUAGGGAAACAGAGGAUUUUGCCUACAACCUGAGGCCAGUGCUGAAGUUGCGCACUUAAAUACGACCCCAUACACUAUUUCUGCAGUAUUGAACCUGCUCUAUUAUAAACUUUUAUGAGAAGUUAUUAAAUAAAAGUGGGCAUGCUAACAUUGCUCGGAAGCCCAUACAUAAAUGUAUAUGUAAAAGUAAUGUUGAAUCUGUGUCAUAUUGAGGCAAUCAAACGUCGCAAUAUUUAAUGCUGUGCCAGAAAGGAUGACAGUAUGACAGAAACUAUGACAUUAAAAGAGACAAAGACAAGAACACUUAGUGGAGCAAAACGCACUUAAAAUUACAGGAAUCUCUACAUGGAUAGACUGCCCCUAAUAGAAAAUUAUGUAAUGAAAGAUAGACGUUGUUCUUUGUGCCGCAAUAGUUUUGUGGCUGGCACUAUCCACAUACCUAGUGUUAAGCUUUAGAGCUUGCAUAAUUUUUUUUAAAACUGCCUGUUGCCAAUUCUGUCUGUUUUUCCUAAAUGACGUGAAGAGCAGUACCUUUCUUAGUCAACAAAUAAUAGUGCUGAGGUAGCUGAUUAAGCAAAUUGGACUAAUCAACUGUUUACUGAUUUUAGGGCAUGUGUUGGAAUGGCGGAACUGUAGGCCAUCAGAAAACAUGACAAACCAGUUGGAAUCAAUUGCAUAAGUUUCGAGACAUGGGAACUCCAACUGCGCAACCAAAUGUGCUGGCGUUCCCCCUUUCUUCUUGCUGUGUGAAUUGCUCGAUCUGCACGUACAAAUGUCUGCCUCCAUUUAUUUCAGCCAUGCAGACAAAAUUAGGGUAUCACCAAAAGUCACAGUUUCGCCGCAACGGCGAAGCAAUGAAUGCGAUAGCAACAAAUUAGAGUGUCACACGAAGAACGGCAAGCAGCUCGAUACUUGCAACGCGCCGCUCGAGCCCAAUGACUGGCGAAAAGAACACACAGAGGACGACUGCGAACGAACAACGGUCACAGCUCGACACUUGCAGCGCACUGCUGAAACACAAGGUAGGACACUGUGUGCUUACUCACGUAGUCCCAGUACAAGAGCACGUACACAAUUAAAUUUCUUGUAUGUGUUAGUCGGGGGGCCACUAUAACAUUUGUAAGCGAUGCGUAUGGGGGUCGCGCAUCUGAUAAGGCAAUAACAGAGCAGUGUGGGCUGUUGGAGCUGUUUGAACCCUUUAAAGAUGAUAUCGUGGUUAUCCGGUUUUUUUUUUUUUUUUUUUUUUAUUGAUAUGUGUGCAUCUCGUGCAAUUGGUAUAAUCAGGCCCCCAUUUUCAAAGAAAGAUGGCCAAUUUCAAGACAGUGAUGCCACCAGGACAACUGAAAUAGCACGAGCAAGGGUACAUGUGGAGCGGGCUAUCCAGCGCAUUAAGAUAUUUAAAACAUUUCGCACUACUUUGAACUGAGAAAUGCUUCCAUACAUCAAUCACCUCUUCAUAACUGCAUGUGGCCUCACCACCUUGUGUGCACCUAUACUUGCUGAUGAUAAAUUUUUGUGAAAGUUGAAAGUGCAACAAAAGUAAAUAAAAUGUCUUUUUUAUUGUGAUGAUGAAAAGAUUAGCAGGACACAGGAAUAAAGAUUAAGCGACAAUACUUUAAUAACUUGCGGUUUGCAGACGACAUCGUACUUUUCAGCAAUACAGCGACGAAUCACAAAAAAAAUGAUAGAAAAAAUGAAGAAAGCCUUGAUAAUAAUAAUAAUUGUUGGGUUUAACGUACCAAAAUCACGAUAUGAUAAUGAGAGACGCCGUAGUGGAGCGCUCCGGAAAUUUCGCCCACAUGGGAUUCUUCAUUGCCUUGUUUCCUACAAAGGAGUCAUGCCAUUACAUCCUGUUUAGUUUUGCUUCCCAUGUGUAUUUUUCAGUUUCGUUGAAUGUGUAGAGCUCACGGCAAACACUUCCAGUUAUCCUGUUUCGUAUCUCACUGUGCCAUAAUGUACAACUUUGAGUCACGGUGCGCUGACAUGCUUGUUUGGCUUUUUCAUGGCUCACACGCUCCUUUUGUUCGUAGAACUCUCUUUCUUUUGGGGUAAGACUUGCAAGUGAAAACCUUUUCAGCUUAACGGCUCUUCCUUCAUUUACAGCCUCAAAAAAUUGAAAAGUGCUGAACUCCCUGAGACUUGCAUUUACACGAUCAUGGGCGAACACUGUUGUAAAAAAACGUGUCACAUUGCAUCGCUGUCAACCGCUGCAGCUGUCUUUCUCUGACGUGACUUGUGCUUUGCAAAACUAGAGUUUGGUGCUGCCUUCACAAAUUCCGCUCUUAUUGAUUUCUCCACCUCUUUAUCGAAGGACAUUUUUGGAUAUUCUUGAACGUGGCAAAAUCUGUCAACUGGCCGUGGCGUGUACGGGUUGGUGACACUGAUGCGACCCCACUGCUGCUGUACGUCGGUACAUGAUAGCCAGUCAAGGCUGUCUGCACUUGCUCUGUAAUUAGAAUGAAUAAAAAUUUGU